GAUGAACGCUGGCGGCAUGCCUAAUACAUGCAAGUCGAGCGAAGCGGGGACGGGUGAGUAACACGUAGAAAAACUCCUAUAAGACUGGGAAAACUUCGGGAAAACGGAGCUAAAACGGAAACUUAUAGAUAGAUCAGCGAGGCAUUAGCUAGUUGUUAAGGUAACGGCUUACAAAGGCAACGAUGCAUAGCCGACCUGAAAGGGUGAUCGGCCACACUGGAACUGAGACACGGUCCAGACUCCUACGGGAGGCAGCAGGAGGGAAUCUUCCGCAAUGGGCGAAAGCCUGACGGAGCAACGCCGCGUGAGUGAUGAAGGUCUUCGGAUCGGAAAAUUCUUUUAUUAGGGAAGCGGUACCUAAUCAGAAAGCCACGGCUAACUACGUGCCAGCAGCCGCGGUAAUUC
rnacentral:rRNA from 1 species